GGCAAGCCUGAUGCAGCGACGCCGCGUGAGGGAUGACGGCCUUCGGGUUGUAAACCUCUUUCAGUAGGGAAGAAGCGUAAGUGACGGUACCUGCAGAAGAAGCGCCGGCUAACUACGUGCCAGCAGCCGCGGUAAUACGUAGGGCGCAAGCGUUAUCCGGAAUUAUUGGGCGUAAAGAGCUCGUAGGCGGUUUGUCGCGUCUGCCGUGAAAGUCCGGGGCUCAACUCCGGAUCUGCGGUGGGUACGGGCAGACUAGAGUGAUGCAGGGGAGAGUGGAGGACCUGGUGUAGCGGUGAAAUGCGCAGAUAUCAGGAGGAACACCGAUGGCGAAGGCAGGUCUCUGGGCAUUAACUGACGCUGAGGAGCGAAAGCAUGGGGAGCGAACAGGAUUAGAUACCCUGGUAGUCCAUGCCGUAAACGUUGGGCACUAGGUGUGGGGGACAUUCCACGUUUUCCGCGCCGUAGCUAACGCAUUAAGUGCCCCGCCUGGGGAGUACGGCCGCAAG
rnacentral:rRNA from 1 species